CUUUGGGAGUAGCGACCUGCCUACCUUUUCCUGAUGAAACUACUUUCCAUCAGUCUGUGUGAAUCCGUAGAUGGGAGAGUCAUGGGCUCUGGUUUCCAAGAGAAAAUAUCAAUGUUCAUGACCAAUUCCUAAUUCACAAAGACUGGAAAAACCAUGCCUAUUUGCACAGCCCCUGUACUGUGAACCAGACGAGAGAAUGCCUGUUUAUGCAAGCAGAAAGCAAAGCCACUUCUAGAUCAGACCGCCUGGCUGCUGACAAUCAGAUCAAAUCAACAGCAUUUAAUGAGCUCCUCUCAGAGACAGUGCAAGAUGCUCCAGGAGAUACAAGGCUGGUGCGCUGACACCGGGGAUUGUCUACCCAACAUUCGUUUCCUCUUCUUCCCCAUCAACAGAACUCGUGUAUCAUUGAGGGCAGCAAGGGGCCCACUUAAAAGCCACAUUUCCUACCUUCCCUUACUCCCAUGUUGUGACCGUGUUCUGGUUAUUGAAAUCCAAAUGUAACCUUUGUGUGCAUCUCCAGGAAAGCUCUUUAAGCAUUGACGAUUCAGCCUGGAAAUCUGCCCAUUUUGUUCUUUCUUUUCUUCUUCCUGCUGCCUGGAAUUUGAAUGUGGUAUCUGGAGCUUCAGCAGUCAUCCUGGUGGAUGCUUAAGUGUGGAAUCCAUGCACUGAAGAUGGUGGAAGAGAAAGUUACAAGGAAGUUAGUCCCUGUCAAUUACAUAUCCAUCGUAGACGGCCUUCCAACAGACCUCUUCUAUGUGGGAGAAUCACUUUUUUGUGUUUAAGUCUCAGUUAUUUUGGGCUUCCCAUUAUAUGCUGCUGCAUCUAAUCCCAGCUGAUACAGGUGGUGGUGUUCUCAGGAAGCCUCUGGGUGCUGUGUAGCCUGGCACACUCAGGCACGUGCUCAUGGUCCUUACUAUAGAGUUUCUCACUCUUCAGUCAGAGUCGCUGAGAACUGGAGCUAACGCCUGGGACCGAAAGGGCUCAGCAGGUGUUUCUAUGAUUAGGGUUUGGGGCAUCGCUAGCACCCAUGAGAGGGUCACAGGAUGUUAAUAGUGACCUGAUUUAGUUCCUCCUACCCCAUCUGACCGCCAAGAUUUUGGGCCCAAGUUCAGUAUCUGGUCCAUGCGAAACAGAGAAUUCAGAACAAUCAUUAAGGGUUCCUGGGACCUGGGAGGACCUCUUGGACCACCAAAUCAACAACUGUGCUUUAAGCAUGAAGUGGAGACAGGGUUACAUGCAUAAUAAUCUCUCUCAAGUGAUUUUGUGUUUAUCUGGAUUUUAGCUGCGGAAUGUGGCCUCAGGAUCUAGAUUCAGGCUUGCCUCUUCUCACAUACAUAGGAAUUUUUAAUUAGCUGUGCCAGUCUCAACUGAAGUUGACCAUGAAUCCCAGCUUAUAAUUCCAACUAAGCAGAUG
rnacentral:lncRNA from 1 species